GUGCUCACUUUGGCAGCACACAUAAUAAAAAUGGAACAAUACAAAGAUUAACAUGGCCACUGUGCAAGGGUGGCACAUGAAUUUAUGGAGAGUUCAUAUUUAAA